rnacentral:rRNA from 1 species
AACGAACGCUGGCGGCAUGCCUAACACAUGCAAGUCUAACGAAGGCUUCGGCCUUAGUGGCGCACGGGUUCGUAACGCGUGGUAAUCUGCCCUUUGGUUCGGAAUAGCAGCUGUAAACGACUGCUAAUACCGGAUGAUUACUACAGUCCAAAGAUUUAUCGCCAGAGGAUGAGCCCAGGUUUGAUUACGCUGUUGGUAUGGUAAAGGCCUACCAAGCCGACGUUCCAUAGCCGGUCUGGGAGCAUGAUCAGCCACACUGGGCCUGAGACGCGGCCCAGACUACUACAGGAGGCAGCAGUGGCGAAUAAUAGACAAUAGCGGCAAGGAUGCUCAAGCAAUGCUCAGUAAGUGAUGUAGGGCUUAGGGUUGUAAAGCUCUUUUACCCGGGAAGAUAAUGACUGUACCGGGAGAAUAAGCCACGGCUAACUCCGUG